ensembl:lncRNA
UUAAAGAUGAACAAGCAUCCCAUUCCUGGGCUUUUGUCCACAUCCACAGUAAAAUUGUGAAGAAACAGAAACACUCUAGAUUGGACACUGUGGCAGAGGACUAAAGACUAUGAGCCACCAGAAGGAGAUGCAGCUUGAGAACGGGAUGAAAGCUGCAGGAAAACUUUUAGGGCAUCUCUGAAGGGAAGGGAUGUGCUACUAAGUCCUGAAAACCUCCACGAUUCAUUCACAAAAAUAAGCAUCUUACUAUCUAAGAAAGCAUCUCCCGCUGAUGGUUUGAAAGCUUCCUCCUUCACUUUGCAGCCACAUCUUACCAAAGCCUUGCGUGGGAGAUAACAGAUACAUCAAAGGCCAUCAUGAAUGCCAAAUUUAACAUCCAUGUGAACGAAAGAGUGGUUAUGCAUCCGCUCUCUGCUUGGCACUGCUUGCUGUAUUUCCCUUCUCACCAAGAUACACUUAAAGAAGAGAAAGGAGUCAGCACCUUGUGAGUGUUCCCAGCAGACGCUGAACCUGACUCGGGCUUGUAGUGAUAGCACUUACAUCACCCGUAUGUAAAACUGUUCCGGCAAGGAGCUGCCUGAAUGCUUUGGGCAACCGGCCACUUACUGCAUGCAGUCAUUUGGAGGCCAGACAAGCCGCGUCCCAGACCUAGAAGGCUGCUGAAAGGCAAGUGAGGGGCUGGGAGUGCAGUGAGAGGACAGAAAGCAGCAUUCAUGGAGCCCCUCAAAACAAAAAAACCAAAAACGGGCCCGACCGCACAAGGGGGUUGGUGACGGGCUUCUCCUCGUCCAGCGCAGCAAACCCCUUUACGGCUCAAAAACAACAGGAAGGCGGCUUUGGGUUCCCCUUAGGGAUGCGCGCUACACACCGCUUGCCACGGCUCCGGCGGAGAGCC